rnacentral:rRNA from 1 species
UCUACCUUUGCGACCGGGAUAACUAGCCGAAAGGUUGGCUAAUACUGGAUAGAGCGCAUGGAACGUAAAGUUUCGUGCGGGAAAGGGGGGCGUAGCAAUACGCUUCUGCGCUGGGAUGAGCCUGCGUCUCAUUAGCUAGUUGGUGAGGUAACGGCUCACCAAGGCUCCGAUCGGUAUCCGGCCUGAGAGGGCGGACGGACACACUGGGACUGAGACACGGCCCAG